ACCGUUUGCAUUUCUAUUUUUUUGGUAUAUUUUUUCAAUACAACCUUUUUACAGAGGUUAUUGCAAACAUCAUCCAUACAAAAAAAAAAAUUUUUUGCCAAAUUCAUUUUAGCUCAAAAACUUUAUUCUUUCCAAAUGUAUAUCAGAUAUUUUAAGCGUGGCAUAGUGUAUUAUAAUUUUUUGUCAAACCCUAUAAGAGGUUACCCUAAAAUGAAUAUAUAUUCUUGAUCAGAAUCACCUCCUGAGUCGAUAUAAGCAUAUCCGUCUGUCCGUCGGUAUGUCUUUUUCUAUGCAAACUAGCCUCUCCGUUUUAAAGCUAUUGACUUGAAACUUUCCACACAUCAUUCUUUUAUUUGCAGGCAUUAUAUAACUCGGAACGGGAUUGGCUGAUUUUAUACAAAAGCUGUCAUAUACCCCAACGAUUGGAAUUGGCAAAACUUUUUUGAUUUUUAAACUAGAUGGAUGGCUUUCUACGAAUUCCAUUUCGGGCAACCUAUUCCGAUCUGCCAAAUGUCAUAAGGAACUUAACGAUCGGAAAUGGCAUAACCAAUUUUGAAAGAUGCAUUCGAACAUUUUUAAUAGAAAAUUUAUUUGAUGGUGGAAUUCUCAUAAGGAUCGGCCAGCUAUAUACGAUUCAAUAUAAUAAUAUAAGCUCCUACCUAACUGUAAGGGUAUAUUAAAUUCGGCUCCUUCCAAAGUAAGCUUUUCUUUCUUUGAUUUAUAAUGUAUCCUUUUGGUAUGUAAAUCUCUAUAAAUAUAUCGGUACAAAUCACAUAACUAUUCUACAAUGUAAAUCGGCAUAAAAUUGUAAAUAUGAGACACCGUUAGAGCAUGACGAGAGAGCGAGACAACACUAGCGCAUGAUUGCUGAUGCAGGUGGCCUAUGGAAUGCCAGGGUCCCAGAUGUAAAGGUAACACUUUAUGGGGGCCUUGUUGCGAACUUUCGUCUUGUACAGGAAGGACGGCAAAAAUCGUUGACGGUUACAUCGAAGACCUGAUAAACUGAAAUUCCCUCCGGAAGAUCGCUUGCUCCAUCAAACGCGGAUUUUUUUCGAAAGCACCGCAUUUAUUAAUCGCCUUAAGCACAGUCUUUUUCUCCCCAAUAGGCCAAUAUGAAGAACGUAUCUUCGCUAAUAGCCAUUGAAGGUUCUUCGCAUGAAAGCUAGUCAUUACGCUUAGCGUUACCGGAAGUCACGCGCUGAACAGCUAUAGAGCUAAUUCCCUUAUAAUAUCGUCUGGAUCUUGUGAUGUAGUUCCAGCAAUCUCUAAAUUCAGUAAAGUUAACAUCUUAAAAGGAGCUACAUAAGAAUUCGAACCAAGGCAUCGGCCCUCAGCCCUUGGCGACGUGGAAACUACGUAAAUACACGAAGAUAUGCUGGCGUCACAGAAGCUAUGAAUCUCCACGAAAGCUCGAGGAGAGGAAGAGAAAGCAUCCU